AGUAUGAGAAAUUUAGGAUAAAUCAGGGGGUUUGCUGCUGUUGCUCUCUCUGUGGGCAGCCUGGUGCUGCUGAGCUGUGGCUAAGGGCUUCAGUGCAGCGCAUGCACGCUGCUGCCUUCCCCAGCUCUGCUGGAAGCCAUCUCUCAGGCCUGUCAGGCCAGAUGUUUAGCAACCAGAUUUUCCAGGAUGGGUGCCUGCAGGUGGCCUGGGCCAGAUGUGACAGCGGUGCAGGGGUAGGACAACCAGAGGAGACCCAUGGCACAACAUAAUGACCAGAAGAAAUGGGGUCUGAAGCCCUCUUCCCAUCAGGCAGGGAUGUUGGGACCCAAGAAGAGCUGAAGCCUUCUUGCACGCUGUUUCCUCCAGACCUUGCACGAAGCUGAGCCCAGCUGGAUGUGGAGACGAGGCUCAGAUGAUGGAGCUGCAACUGUGUGUACCUGCAUGCCCCAGGCCUGAUGUUGUAGGACGGAGGAGAAGCCAGGCCCGCUCUCCAUACAGUGGUAGACACAAAGCCAUCGCCUCUCGGUUUCGGUGGGCCAACUGGAUCAGUUGAAAGGCUGCCCUGAUUCGGUACUUGCAGAGGCAGGACCACACCGGCUGCCCAUUGUGUACGGCCCUGAUUCCCCGGCAGAUCUGCGUCAUUGAAGUCAAGGACAUAAUGAGGGAUUUCAGUCCCAAGCAGAGACUAUCCAAGCAGGUGGGAAAGUGACGGGCCAGCGUCCAGCCUUCAGAGCACAGACCAAAGGGAAGCUGUUUUAAAUAGCAACAAUGGCCCUAAUCCCCCGGCAGGAUGGAGAGAUGCAGAUUGGUGAAGGGAAGAAAGGGCAGAAAAUAGCAAGCACAGAAAGUGUGUAUAUGUGAGAAUCCCUUUCAGGAUGCAUUAAUGGGAUGCAGUGAAUAGGAAGAAGAGACCCCAGAGCGUGUUUUAAACAGAUUCCUGAUAUAAUAUGAACCACGGUAAAUGAAGUGCUGCACAAAAGAAAUAAUAAAAAUAUAUCACUGUAGUCAGUCUCGCUGGCUGUGUCAGUGUUUAACCACAUCAGAGCUCAUCAUUAACUAAGAGGCAGAAUAACACGAGCAAACAAGAGGGCAGCUGGGAGGAAGAACAUAAGGACCAAGAUGUGGCCCCAGUGAGGUUUCUCUCACGGCAGCUCCAAGAAAUAAGGGGCCAGGUCUGAGAGAAAGCCCACCUGCCGGGCACGGCUUGGCAGAGACACCUCCGGCGAUGGUGUGGGGAUGCGCUCACCUCCUCCGUCGCCAGCUCUCCUGCAACAAUCCGUCUGCAGCAGCCGCUCGCCUCCGAGUGAGGAGUUUUAAUAAACGAUCGUCAUGUGCAAGCCAUGCAUGUAUGUGAGAGAGGAUGGGGACGUGUAUUUUUAAACGCGAAAACUCCCACCAGCCGCAGGCUGAACACGGGCUGCAUGAUCUUCAAGGGAAGGAGGAGAAAAGCGUGCUGGUUUUCUGCAGAAUCGGAUCAUUUGCUGCAAAUUGGGUGGUUGAUCCAAGAAGAGUUACGGAAAAUGUGGUUCGCAGCGGGGAGUAAGUUCAGGGUGGUGUGAAUUUUAGGAUGGGCCCAUCCCAGGAGAGGUGCUUGGUGAGAGAUCAAACCAGCGUCUCAGCAUCUAUAACCAAUCAUCAAUAUACACCCACACAAAGAUCUUUUUCUUCUUCUUUUAUUUAUUUAUUUACGUAUUUACCGUAGAAGAAAGCACAUUUGUGCCUUAUGAUGAAGACCACGGUCUGCUUGCACAGAAGUCAGUGGGGUACGUGACAACAACCACAAGCUGGCCCCAAGGUCUGGGCUUUUGCUGCCCACCAGCCUCCUUUGGCUCAACAAUAUUGAUGUGAGGGCAGCUUGAACUGAAUUUGGUGCUUUCUGUCUCUGGCUCUUCGAAGCAGUUGGGAAAGCAGGAGGGGAGAUGAAGAAAAGCAUCCUACAGACCCCCCAAACCUCUCCAGUGACCUCUCAGGGUGGAAGAUGGUGACCGAGGGAGGAAGGUUAUGGGAAAGAGCAGGGAGAUCAUAAAGGACACAAGUAAAGACUUUAUGAAAACACUCUGUAAAUUUAACCUAAAUACCCCUGGCCUCUCUUGGCCUCUGGGGCCUUAUUACUGCAGCGGGGGUGUGCUUGUGCAUGACAAGGGAUUUUAAAAACGAGCAAUGGAAAAAGCCUCGGCCUGACCCACCGUUCCCCAGUGCCCUGUAUUAGUUCCUCACCAUCCCCUACAGAUCUGCACAUCUCUCCCAAAUACCUGCACCCCUGGGCCAGCGGCAGAGCCCCAGACUGGUGAGCAGGGCUCAAACUCAGCUCCUGGAAGCAGCCGGGCUACAUCUGAAUGUGUGCUGGAGCGGCGUUUCACCCCAGAGCCCACUCCCCAAAGCCAGCCAAAGGAAAAGGGAAGGACAAAAUUUGGUCCUGCCUCAUUUCAGCCGAGGAGGCACUUCACGGCAAGCACAAACACAGGAGUCGCUUUGACUCCUGCACGGAUAAACUCUGGAAUCCAAAGGAUGUUUGAGGACAAAUUUUCAGAGGUUGGCACGUACGUACUGACUGUAAAAUUACUUCACAGAGCCUGGCUGUGCAUGCUAAAUCCACAUUUGCCUGCGCAAACAAGGUGCUUAUGCAUGCAGUUAGACGUUUUGCAGGCACAAAGGCACAGGCAAGUUCAGCCCUGGCUUUCUCCAUCUUUCUGACUGUACUUAGCGGUACUUUUCCCCAGCCAGGAACGCUUCGCAGGGACCAGUGUUUGCAAGGAAGAGCUCACGCCGUGGCCCCAGAUGGAAAGGCUUUAAGCUCAAAGCUUAGCUUCAGACAGACCGUUUUAAUUGGGAUGGUUCCCAAAGCAAUGAAUAAUCAGCCCUGAGUUUUAAAUUACCUCAGAGGAACGUCUCCUCGGCACGCAGUGGGAAGGUGCCUGCCGCACGAGUUCUCACUCCCCUUUUGAUGCUGAAGAUUUGGCUCCCAAUGCCAGCAGGUAAAAGCUCAGGGUGGCUGUAGAAAAUGCUCAAAACCACCCUGAUUUCUGCCCCAGGCUGUGAAAUGAUGCUCGGACCUGUGGGCAGCUUCAAGCCGUGCUAAUGCUUCCGACUUUUCUGACUUUGGUCUGUACCACCAGUUGUUGGCUUGAGUUCAACACCUCCACGGUGCUUUGGGAGCACUGAGCUUGGGCUGCCUUCAUCCAGACUUCGUGGAUGUGGCUCGGGGUCCUUGCUCUUCCCCAGAGAGAGCCCUCCAGGGCUGGGCUUGGCUGCUGGAGAGCGGGGCUGAGGAGUGGGCUGGUGCUGGGUGGACCUGGACUGGAGGGUGGUCUCAGAAGUGGUGGAGAAGGGCCAGGUGGGCCACCAGGGGAUGACGAGUGUUAUAUCAGCACUGGGCACUGCAGAAUAUCCUCCUGGCUCCAGCAGGUGAGAACAGGCUGUGUUUUCGGCGUACGGGGAAUCGUGCUGCAAAAGCAGCUGGUCCUAUACCUCAGUGUUUAGAGGCAGAGGGAAACCGUGCUGCUCUUGGGGAGAUAAUAAAGGCCUAAACAUCCACAGGCUUUGAAAAUAA